rnacentral:rRNA from 1 species
UACGUAAAAGACUAGUGUUAUUCAUCUUUAGUAGGUUUAAAGGGUACCUAGACGGUAUAAUUAGUCUUAAACAAGAAACGGUUAUGCUAAAGUUAUAUAUGAGAAGGGGAGUAUUUAUGGAGUAGAGUUGAAAUUCUUUGAUCCCAUAACGACUGGUAGCGGCGAAAGCAACCUUUUAUCUAAUAACUGACGUUGAGGGACGAAGGCUCGGGUCACGAACAGG